rnacentral:rRNA from 1 species
UACGGGGGGGGGCAAGCGUUGUUCGGAAUUACUGGGCGUAAAGGGCUCGUAGGCGGCCAACUAAGUCAGACGUGAAAUCCCUCAGCUUAACUGGGGAACUGCGUGUGAUACUGGAUGGCUUGAAUUCGGGAGAGGGAUGCAGAAUUCCAGGUGUAGCGGUGAAAUGCGUAGAUAUCUGGAGGAAUACCGGUGGCGAAGGCGGCAUCCUGGACCGACAUUGACGCUGAACGGCGAAAGCUAGGGGAGCAAACGGG